rnacentral:rRNA from 1 species
UACGAAGGGGGCUAGCGUUGCUCGGAAUCACUGGGCGUAAAGCGCACGUAGGCGGGUUGUUAAGUCGGGGGUGAAAUCCUGGAGCUCAACUCCAGAACUGCCUUCGAUACUGGCGACCUUGAGUCCGGGAGAGGUGAGUGGAACUCCGAGUGUAGAGGUGAAAUUCGUAGAUAUUCGGAAGAACACCAGUGGCGAAGGCGGCUCACUGGCCCGGUACUGACGCUGAGGUGACGAAAGGCGUGGGGAGCAAAACAGG